rnacentral:rRNA from 1 species
UGAGGAAUAUUGGUCAAUGGACGAGAGUCUGAACCAGCCAAGUAGCGUGAAGGAUGACUGCCCUAUGGGUUGUAAACUUCUUUUAUAUGGGAAUAAAGUUCAGUAUGUAUACUGUUUUGUAUGUACCAUAUGAAUAAGGAUCGGCUAACUCCGUGCCAGCAGCCGCGGUAAUACGGAGGAUCCGAGCGUUCUCCGGAUUUAUUGGGUUUAAAGGGAGCGUAGGCGGACGCUUAAGUCAGUUGUGAAAGUUUGCGGCUCAACCGUAAAAUUGCAGUUGAUACUGGGUGUCUUGAGUGCAGCAGAGGUAGGCGGAAUUCGUGGUGUAGCGGUGAAAUGCUUAGAUAUCACGAAGAACUCCGAUUGCGAAGGCAGCUUACUGGACUGUAACUGACGCUGAUGCUCGAAAGUGUGGGUAUCAAACAGG